rnacentral:rRNA from 1 species
CCUGAACGCUGGCGGCGUGGCUAAGACAUGCAAGUCGAACGGAUGUAGCAAUACAUCAGUGGCGGACGGGUGAGUAAUGUAUCGCUAAUGUGCCCUAGAGCCUGGGAUAGCCAUCCGAAAGGGUGGGUAAUACCAGAUGAAAUAACUUUGUCGCAUGGCAGAGUUCUCAAAGACAGCAAUGCACUCCUGGAGCAGGCGAUAUCGAUCAGCUAGUUGGUGAGGUAACGGCUCACCAAGGCGACGACGCGUAGCCGGGCUGAGAGGUUGACCGGCCACAUUGGGACUGAGAC